AGCGAACGCUGGCGGCAGGCUUAACACAUGCAAGUCGAACGCCCCUUCGGGCGAGUGGCAGACGGGUGAGUAACACGUGGGAACGUGCCCUUCGGUUCGGAAUAACUCUGGGAAACUAGAGCUAAUACCGGAUACGCGCUUUUUGGGGAAAGGUUUACUGCCGAAGGAUCGGCCCGCGUCUGAUUAGCUAGUUGGUGGGGUAACGGCCUACCAAGGCGACGAUCAGUGGCUGGUCUGAGAGGAUGAUCAGCCACACUGGGACUGAGACACGGCCCAGACUCCUACGGGAGGCAGCAGUGGGGAAUAUUGGACAAUGGGCGCAAGCCUGAUCCAGCCAUGCCGCGUGAGUGAUGAAGGCCUUAGGGUUGUAAAGCUCUUUUGUCCGGGACGAUAAUGACGGUACCGGAAGAAUAAGCCCCGGCUAACUUCGUGCCAGCAGCCGCAGUAACAC
rnacentral:rRNA from 1 species